AUACGUAGGGGGCGAGCGUUGUCCGGAAUGAUUGGGCGUAAAGGGCGCGUAGGCGGCGUGGUAAGUCUGGAGUGAAAGUCCUGCUUUCAAGGUGGGAAUUGCUUUGGAUACUGUCGCGCUUGAGUGCAGGAGAGGAUAUCGGAAUUCCUGGUGUAGCGGUGAAAUGCGUAGAGAUCGGGAGGAACACCAGUGGCGAAGGCGGGUAACUGGACUGCAACUGACGCUGAGGCGCGAAAGUGUGGGGAGCAAACAGGAUUAGAUACCCUGGUAGUCCACACUGUAAACGAUGAAUGCUAGGUGUAAGAGGUAUCGACCCCUUUUGUGCCGGAGUCAACACAAUAAGCAUUCCGCCUGGGGAGUACGGCCGCAAGGUUGAAACUCAAAUGAAUUGACGGGG
rnacentral:rRNA from 1 species